rnacentral:rRNA from 1 species
UGGGGAAUUUUGGACAAUGGGCGAAAGCCUGAUCCAGCAAUGCCGCGUGCGUGAAGGAGGCCUUCGGGUUGUAAAGCACUUUUGUCCGGAAAGAAAUCCUCGGCUCUAAUACAGUCGGGGGAUGACGGUACCGGAAGAAUAAGCACCGGCUAACUACGUGCCAGCAGCCGCGGUAAUACGUAGGGUGCAAGCGUUAAUCGGAAUUACUGGGCGUAAAGCGUGCGCAGGCGGUUUGCUAAGACCGAUGUGAAAUCCCCGGGCUCAACCUGGGAACUGCAUUGGUGACUGGCAGGCUAGAGUAUGGCAGAGGGGGGUAGAAUUCCACGUGUAGCAGUGAAAUGCGUAGAGAUGUGGAGGAAUACCGAUGGCGAAGGCAGCCCCCUGGGCCAAUACUGACGCUCAUGCACGAAAGCGUGGGGAGCAAACAGGAUUAGAUACCCUGGUAGUCCACGCCCUAAACGAUGUCAACUAGUUGUUGGGGAUUCAUUUCCUUAGUAACGUAGCUAACGCGUGAAGUUGACCGCCUGGGGAGUACGGUCGCAAGAUUAAAACUCAAAGGAAUUGACGGGGUCAUAGCUGUUUCCU